rnacentral:rRNA from 1 species
UACGUAGGGGGCAAGCGUUGUCCGGAAUCAUUGGGCGUAAAGAGCGCGUAGGCGGUCCGGUAAGUCCGCUGUAAAAGUCAAGGGCUCAACCCUUGAAAGCCGGUGGAUACUGCCGGGCUAGAGUCCGGAAGAGGCGAGUGGAAUUCCUGGUGUAGCGGUGAAAUGCGCAGAUAUCAGGAGGAACACCAAUAGCGAAGGCAGCUCGCUGGGACGUUACUGACACUGAGGCGCGAAAGCGUGGGGAGCGAACAGG